rnacentral:sRNA from 1 species
UGACGUGAUGUUUGAUUUUGUACCUCAUUUGUAAAAAAUAAACCCCCCAAAAAACAUGGCUUACAGGGGAUAAGAAGAUCUUUAUAAUUAAAUAAAACACGUUCAGCUACUGCAGACAUAGAAUGAAAAAAUUUGAAAAUAAGUUCCUCUUUUUCUGUUUUUCUCUCUUUUACGAGUAGAUAUUUAUCAUAUCAUAGUAUAAAUUCUACAGAAUUGAGAAUGAAAUUGCAUAGUACGAGAUCAAUUUAGAUAGCGUUUUGUAUGUUUAGGUGUAAAGACAAAUGUGUAAACAAGGCCAGAGAUGAGUAUAUCUGCUCCGGGUCGGAAAUAUAGAUCAGUAUUUUACCACCUAAUAUGGUGCAACAAAUCAUGAAAUGGUACUUGAUCGAAUUUACUAAUUAAGUUGGAAAUAUAGAAGCGCAAUGUAAAUGUGUAUAUUUAAAAAUUGGGGUGCGGGAAACCAGCUUUCCUGUACCACUGAAAGCUGUCUUUCUGUCUCCUCUUUUAAACAGGUAUGAAAAAAUACACUUGCGCGUAUUCUUAAAGUGAAAUUCUACAUAUCAGGCAGUUCAAACUGCUAUUCUAUUCUUAGCGAUUUUUGUAAUAUAAUAGUCAUUAUUUGUUAAAUUUAAAAGUAACUGAUCCUAAUAUUUUUUGUUAACAUGUACAAUAAAUGUAAUAAAU